GUGGGGAAUCUUCCGCAAUGGACGAAAGUCUGACGGAGCAACGCCGCGUGAGUGAAGAAGGUUUUCGGAUCGUAAAGCUCUUUCGUUAGGGACGAACGUGCUCUUUGUGAAUAAUGAGGAGUAAUGACGGUACCUAAAUAAGAAGCCACGGCUAACUACGUGCCAGCAGCCGCGGUAAUACGUAGGUGGCAAGCGUUGUCCGGAAUUAUUGGGCGUAAAGCGCGUGCAGGCGGGAUAUCAAGUCUGUCUUAAAAGUGCGAGGCUCAACCUCGUGAGGGGACAGAAACUGGUAUUCUUGAGUGUCGGAGAGGAAAGUGGAAUUCCAAGUGUAGCGGUGAAAUGCGUAGAGAUUUGGAAGAACACCAGUGGCGAAGGCGACUUUCUGGACGAAAACUGACGCUGAGGCGCGAAAGCCAGGGGAGCGAACGGGAUUAGAAACCCUGGUAGUCC
rnacentral:rRNA from 1 species